rnacentral:lncRNA from 1 species
UAGGACUUGAAUAAAUUCUAUUGCUAGAUUAAAAUUCUUGAUCUGUAAUUGUCUUGAUAUUUUAAUCAUUAGUAGCAGGUUGGAAUCAGUGAUUUCGAUUGGAGAACAUAACUUAGGUUAAAUAAUCCGAGCUUGUGUGUUUAUUGCCUAGAUCAACAUAAUAUCUUUAUUUGUUUAAUGCUUCCAUUAUCUUAAAUUUAAAGAGCUUGUUUUAAAUUAUUUAAUGGUUAGAGAUUAGGUGAAAAGCUUAUUUUGCCUAACGACACACUAAGGAAAGAUUGAGACUAACAGAGCUUAUUGUUGUCUACGGUUGAUAGUUUCAAUAUAAAUUGAUGAUAGAAUUGAUAUAUUAUGUGCAUGUUUGGUGGGGGCGAGUGAUUCUUUAACCAAAGUUUUCAUCAUUAUUAUUUCUUUCUCCUUUAAUUAGAGUUUUUAUUAAAUUCUUGUUCGUAGUUUUAAUUUUUUUAUUUCUUACUAUUUAUUUAAAAAUUCAUAAACCCCCUUUUUAUUUAUAAUUGGCAUUUUCUUUAGUUAGAUUAAUUUAUAUUAUUACUACUAUUAUUUUAUUUUAAAUCUUCCUUUAGAGUUGAUAAUAAAUAUAACUAGCAUAAUCUUUGUGGAAUCGAUCCUUACUCGCUCUGUACUAAUUAUUUAUAUUAGUGGUAAGAUUUUAAAUUUGGUGCACCUUAACAACACUACCAAAUUUUUGGCGCCGUUGCCGGGGAUUAGCGUCUAGUUUGUUUAUUAUCACUCGUUUUAUUUUAUUAUUUUUAUUUUUAUUUCUUUUCUCAUUUUAUUUAUUUAUUUUAUUUUAUUUAGUUAUUUUUUGUUCUAUAUUUAGAUUUUCAUGAGCAUAGAGGACAUUCGAUUGAAAAUCGAACAACUUAGAGCAACCUCAUCAUAUUCAGAACUCGAUUUUGCCAUCCAUACUCCACUCCCGAAGACAGAGCCAAGCAGCCCAGAACCCGAACCAAUGGCUCAGAAUAACAACCGAACACUUAAGGAGUUGGCAGCUCCUAACUUGAACCAACAACCCUUAUGCAUUGAGAAUCCAAACCCUCAGGUAAACUUUGAACUCAAAUCUGGGAUAAUUCAUCUUCUUCCUACUUUUCAUGGUCUUGCAGGAGAGGAUCCAAAUAAGCACUUGAAGGAGUUCCAUGUGGUCUGCUCCACAAUGAAACCAGCUGGAGUUUCUGAAGAGCAAGUUAAGCUAAUGGCCUUCCCAUUCUCUUUGGCAGAUUCAGCCAAGAAAUAGUUGUACUAUCUCCCCUCUGGUACUGUCACUACAUGGAAUGAAAUGCGUCAGCUAUUUUUGGAGAAAUAUUUCCCAGCAUAAAAAGCUGGCAGCAUUCAGAAAGAAAUUUGUGGAAUCCGACAGUAUAAUGGAGAGCCGCUCUACGACUAUUGGGAACGAUUCAAAAAGCUAUGUGCUAGUUGCCUGCUAAUAACAUUACAUCAUGGGAACAAAUGGUAACGAAAUUUUUGAAUAAAUAUUUCCCAGUGCAUAAAGCCAAUGCUAUUCGCAGGGAAAUCUCAGAGUUUACCCAGAGAGAAGACGAGCAGUUUUACGAAACAUGGGAGCAAUUCAAUGGGCUACUUUUGAAGUGUCCACAUCAUAAGUACGAGAAAUGACACCAAUGCCAAUACUCUUUGGAGGGAUUAUUGCCGAAUGUGCAAGAAUGGCUAAUGGCAACAAGUGGAGGAGAGCUAAUGUCAAAAAGUGCAUAAGAGAUAUGGGAAUUCUUCCAGCGACAAGCGGAUAAUUCCCAACAACGGAGUCGAUCGCUUAGGAACACCAAAAGAAUUAAGGGAGUAAAUGAGGUUCACAUUGGCGAGUCAAGUUCAGAAAUUAAAUAAGUCAAAACGAUAAUUGAAGGUCUCUCUCGACAAAUAUCAUCGUUAUCGACUGCUAAAUCAACAGAGCCACAUGACCAUGACUCAUACUCAGAUCAAGCCAAUGCCAUAGGUGUAAUGAGAAAACCAUCAAAUUACAACCCAUACACCAACACAUAUAAUCCUAGAUUGAAAGACCAUCCUAAUUUUUCAUGGUCUCAAGGAUUCCAACAGAAUGGACCAGUAGCUCCAGCUCCACCAAUGCAACCAAUUCCUCAAGUUCCUCAAGCCUCUCAACCCCCAUUUAGACCAUACAAUCAGAACCAAAACUACUCUCAACCUAGACCAUAGGAGGAUUCAUUCCAGAAUCUCAAGAAUCUUACUCACUCCACAAUUGAGCAACAGAACCGCAACAUUGAUGGACUACAAAAUGAGUUGAGAGCAGGCUUCAACUCACAAGCCUAAUCAGUUUCAAGCCUCGAGAAGAUGGUGGGACAACUUGUUUCUUCAGUUCAGACCUUGGCAAUGACUGUUGAGAAAGGUAAAUUUCCAAGUCAACCAGUGCCUAAUCCUAAAGGAGUACAUGAAGCAAGUACCAGUUCACCAUAGCAGCAUGGAGAGGUCAAAGCAAUCAUGACCUUGCGAAAAGGAAAAGAAGUCGACAACAAAGUGGAGAUGCCGGUGACAAAAGAAAAUCAAAUUGUAUCUGUGAAUGUUGAGGACUCACCAUCGGAAGAGGAAACCAACCCACAAGAAUAUGUUCCCAAAGCUCUAUUUCCUCAAAGGUUAGCUAAAGGAAAGAAGGGAAAAUCCACAGGUGAGAUUCUUGAAAUCUUCAAACAGGUAAGUGUUAACAUCCCUUUACUUGAUGCUAUAAAGCAAGUUUCAUCUUAUGCCAAGUUUCUUAAAGACCUUUGUACUAAAAAGAGAAAUAUUCAUGUUCAAAAGAAGGCAUUUUUAACAGAAAAUGUUAGUUCUAUACUCCAACACAAAAUUCCUUUAAAAUGCAAAGACCCAGGCUCCCCCACUAUCUCAUGUAGUAUAGGGAACCACACAAUUGAGAAUGCUUUGUUGGAUUUAGGAGUUAGUGUAAAUUUGUUGCCUCACUCUGUAUUUGUGAAACUUGGAUUGGGAGAAUUACACCCAACUCCAGUGGUGUUACAGCUUGCAGAUCGGUCUACGAAAAUACCUCGUGGUAUUGUGGAGGACGUGCUUAUCCAGGUACACAAGUUUUAUUUUCCUGUUGAUUUCAUUAUAAUUGACACUCAACCAAUACAGGAUUCAAGGAAGCACAUCCCUAUUAUUCUAGGCCGACCUUUCUUGGCAACUGCAGAUGCUCACAUUCAAUGUAGGACUGGAAAUAUGCAGUUGUCCUUUGGCAACAUGACUAUGGAGCUGAACAUCUUCAACAUUGCCAAACAACCUCAUAAUGGAGAUGAUGGAAUUGUUGAUGUGGAUUUAAUUGAAGCAUUAGUUGAUGAAACUUUUCUUUCAAACCUUAGUGAUGACCCUUUACAAACAUGUUUAACUCACUUUGGUUUGGAUUUUAAUAUUGACAGAUCAAUCGAUGAGGUCAACGCCCUACUUGACUCAGCACCAUCCAUGGACACUAAUAAAUGGAAAUCAAGAGUUGAACAACUGGCACCAUCAGAAAAGAAACUAAUCCUAUCAUCAGAAUCACCACCGAAACUCGUGCUCAAACCAUUACCCAACACAUUGGAAUAUGCAUUUUUGGGAGAAGAAAGUACUCUGCUGGUAAUCAUCUCAUCAUUCCUAAAUGACGAACAAAAAGGUAAGUUGUUGGAUGUUUUAAAAGAGCACAAAGGAGCAUUAGGAUGGACCAUAGCAGACAUCAAAGGUAUAAAUCCAGUAGACUGCAUGCAUUACAUCCACCUUGAUGAAAAUGCUAAACCUACUAGGGAAAUGCAACGUCGGUUAAAUCCUAACAUGAAAGAAGUUGUUAGAACUGAAGUCCUUAAGCUAUUAGAUGCAGAUAUCAUUUAUCCAAUUUCUGAUAGUUCAUGGGUCAGUCAUGUACAAGGUGUCCCUAAAAAGUCAGGAGUCACAGUAGUUACCAAUGCUGAUAAUGAAUUGAUACCCACUAGAGUGACUACAGGAUGGCGUGUAUGCAUUGAUUAUAGAAAGUUGAAUUCUGUCUCACGUAAAGACUAUUUUCCUUUACCAUUUAUCGAUCAAAUGCUUGAUAGAUUAGCAGGCCAUGAAUUUUAUUGCUUUCUAGAUGGCUACUCAGGAUAUAAUCAGAUUCCUAUAGCACCAAAAGAUCAAGAGAAGACAACUUUUACUUGCCCUUUUAACACUUUUGCAUAUAGGAGGAUGCCAUUUGGAUUAUGUAAUGCACCUGCUGCAUUUCAACGAUGCAUGUUAAGCAUUUUUUCUGAUAUGGUUGAACGAUUCCUUGAAGUCUUUAUGGAUGACUUUUCUAUCUUUGGUAAUUCAUUUGAUCAAUGUUUACAUCAUCUAACAUUAGUUCUGCAGAGAUGUAUCGAGAAGAACUUAGUCUUAAAUUGGGAGAAGUGCCAUUUUAUGGUAAAACAAGGUAUUGUUCUCGGUCACAUCAUUUCGAGUAAAGGUAUUGAGGUUGACAAAGCCAAGGUGGAUCUCAUUUCUAAUCUUCCUCCACCCAAAACAGUCAGAGAAGUAAGAUUUUUCCUUGGGCAUGCUAGUUUUUAUAGACGUUUCAUUAAAGAUUUUAGCAAAGUUUCUAGACCCUUAUACUAUUUACUUGCUAAGGAUGUACCUUUUAUCUUUAAUGAUUCAUGUCUUGUGGCUUUUGAAAAAUUAAAGCAAUUGUUGACAUCAUCAUCCAUCAUUCAGCCCCAAACUGGAGCUUACCAUUUGAACUCAUGUGUGAUGCAUCUGAUUAUGCAGUAGGAGCAGUAUUAGGACAAAGAGUUGAUCGAAUUCCCCAUGUUAUUUACUAUGCUAGUAUGACAUUGAAUGAUGCACAGUUGAACUAUUCAACUACUGAAAAAGAAAUGCUAGCAGGAGUAUUUGCAUUAGAAAAAUUUCGAUCCUAUCUCAUUGGUUGUAAAAUAAUUAUAUUCAUAGAUCAUGCUGCUCUUAAAUAUCUUCUCACAAAGAAAGAUGCAAAAGCUAGACUAAUUCAUUGGGUGUUACUUCUAUAGGAAUUCGACUUGGAAUUUAAAGAUAAGAAAGGCACAGAAAAUGUUGUGGUAGACCAUCUCUCUUGUCUCCAUUUUGACACAAUUACUUAACCUUUAACAUUGAAUGAGUCAUUUCCAGAUGAACAAUUGAUGAGUGUGGAAGUAUUACCAUAGUAUGCUGACAUCAUGAAUUAUCUUGUUACAAGUCAAAUUCUAGAGCAUUGGACCAAGCAAGACAAGGCCAAAUUUUUUGCAGAAAUAAAAAUUUCUUUUGGGAUGACCCAUAUUUGUUCAAGUAUUGUGCAGAUCAAAUUGUUAGACGAUGUGUCCCAUUAAGUGAAAUUCAUAAUAUUCUUUCAUUCUGCCAUGAACAAGCUUGUGGAGGCCAUUUCAGCGCUAAGAAAACAGCUACUAAAGUUUUACAAUGUGGUUUCUAUUGGCCAACUAUAUUUCGAGAUGCUUACACUUUUUGUUCUUCAUGUGAUAGGUGUUAACAAAUGGGGAGCAUUACACGAAGGAAUAUGAUGCCACUAAAUCCAAUUUUAGUGGUUGAGAUUUUUUAUGUAUGGGGUAUCGACUUCAUGGGACCAUUUCCCCAUUAUUUUGGCGAUCAAUACAUAUUGGUUGCUGUUGACUACGUAUCGAAAUGAGUAGAAGCAAUUCCAUGCAGAACCAAUGAUCACAAGGUGGUGAUAGGAUUUUUGAAAAGCAACAUUGUUUCACGCUUUGGAUUCUCUCGAGCGAUAAUCAGUUAUGGUGGUGCCCACUUUUGUAACAAAGCAUUCAAAGCUCUUUUGACAAAGUAUUUAAUCACUCACAAAGUGGCGAUCCCAUAUUAUCCGCAAACCAGUGGCCAAGUUGAGAUCUCCAAUCGAGAAAUAAAGCACAUAUUAGAAAAGACGGUGAGGCCAGACAGAAAAGAUUGGUCAUUAAGACUUGAUGAUGCAUUAUGGGCAUAUAGAACGGCUUUCAAGACCCCGAUUGGGAUGUCACCCUACAGGCUAGUGUAUUGAAAAGCUUGCCACCUACCUGUGGAACUCGAGCAUCGUGCAUAUUGGGCCAUCAAGAAAUUCAACUUUGACAUGCAGCAAGCUAGCUCAGAAAGAAGAUUACAACUGGCAGAACUUGAAGAAAUUCGCAAUGACGCAUACGAAAAUGCCAAGAUUUACAAGCAACGAAUGAAAGUCUUUCAUGACAAGCAAAAAAUGAUAAAAUCUUUCACUCCAGGUCAGAAAGUGCUUUUAUUCAAUUCUCGCUUGCACCUAUUCCCAGGUAAGUUACACUCUCGAUGGUCUGGUCCCUUUAUUGUUCAUAUUGUUUUUCCACAUGGGGCAAUUGAAAUUAAGGACCUAAAGAACGGUGUCACGUUUAAAGUUAAUGGUCAAAGAUUAAAGUCAUAUCUAGAGUACCAACCACAUGGAGAGGACACCGAAAUAAAUUUGAGUGACCCACCAGAUUUGAAUUGAGUUUUUUUCUUUCUUUUCGGUGAUUUGAUUUUUUUUCUUUUUAUUAUUCUUUUACUAAAUGAAAUUAUUUUUACAUAAGUGUGUUUGUUUAACCAUUAAGAUUUCUCUUAUCAUUGUUAAUCAUGAGUACCAUAGCUAAACAGUUCCUCCUGAACAUUCUUAAACCACUUCAACGUGUAAAAUCUCAUCUCAAAAGGCAGAUUCAAUUUUGUAAAACACAUCGUAUUUGAGCUCUGCAACCACCAGAGUUGGUAUCCUAUUUUGAGGAUUUAAAAAGCUAACUUAGAGACAUUAAGAGAAGUGUCUACAACAUCCAGUUGGAGCUUGAGGUAAAUUCAAUAAGAGGACGAUUUUAAUUUUCUUUAUGUGUUUUAAUUUUUUUUUCUGUUUGUGUGCUGUAGUUGGUUACCCCGGUGAAGUGGCAGAUAACGAUACUCUGUGACAAUCAAGUCAGUUACUUCAGUUUCCUAUAAUAACUGAUAUUCUGAGGCGAAGGUAUGGACAGAAACGAGAUUCUAGCACAGCUUCACAAUCGAUUCCCUUCACUUCCUCGGAAUGCCUUCCUUACAAUCUAUAAAGCUCGGUCCGAACGCAUGCGAUUGCUCAUGAGGAAUAACAUACCUGCUGACAUCCGUUGGUUAAUCGAGGCUAAAGUACGGUUGGCAGGUGAGUUACCUCCAAAAUUUAUUACAUACAUGCCUGGUUGUGGUAAAGGAAAUUAUGCAAGAAAACGAAGAGCUCGAAGAAUUUCUGUUGCUUGUCAUAAAUGUGCCAGAAUGAGAUGCAAUAAAAACCCAUGUUCUUUAGGAAUGGUGUCUGAUAACAGGGAAGAUAAGAUUCAAUUCAUUAGGGAUGGCUUGAAUAAGGAGUCAUUGGAUGAUAUCCUUUUGUCUCUUGAAACGCAUCCCAGUGGAUAUGUGCAAGGAGCGAUUCUCUAGUUAUGGCCAUUAUUCCAGAAAGACCAUGCACGAUAUAGUCUCGGGAAUCUGACUUUAAACGACCCUGUUUGCCAGUUUAUAAGAAAACUAGAUGGGAAGCCUAUCCUCGACCCAUAGAGGGCGUUCAAGCCGUUUCUGGACGUAAAAUCAGAGGAAGAUAUGAGCCACAGUUGCAACUACCUAUAAAUAUCCUUUUACUUCACUGUUAUUUUAUUUCACUAUUGUUUUAUCUUUUCCAUUAUUGUCUUUAAUAAUUUUAUCUUAUCAUUGUUUCUUUUUCUUUUUACUGUUUUUUUUUUACUCGCGAGCCAUGUGCUUUAUGCAUUAUUUGACACUGACAUGCCACCUCAUACACAGUUGUGACCCACUGUCACCAAGAUUCUUAAAUAUGACUUUUUGUUAAGCACUCACAAAUUAUUUUUGAGAAAUAUUCCAAUGGCAGCUACUCCCAAUAGACAAUUCAAGAACAUUUAUGUGCUUUCUGGAUUUAACUAUGGCAAACAUAAUAUGUUCGUUGAGGCAGCCAUAGAUCUUGGUCGAAGUAUAGCAGAGAGAAAAUUACACUUGGUGUAUGGAGGAGGUAACCGAGGGUUAUCAAAAUUGGUCUCAGAAGCUACUUUUGUCAAAGGAAGCCAAGUGUUAGGCAUCAUCCCAAGAGCCCUAAAACCUUUGAGCAGUUUGUCUGACCCACCGACUGGAGAAGAGUUAGUCGUCUCAGGUAUGCAAGAAAGAAUAACUGAAAUGCUUAAUCAUGCUGAUGCUUUUAUUUUCCUUCCAGGAGAUCUUGCAACACUAGAGGCACUUAUCACACUAGCAUCUUGGGCCCAUCUGCACAUUCACCAGAAACCCAUCAGUUUGUUAAAUGUCAAUAACUUUUAUGAUGGCUUCAUCGCAUUUCUUAACCAUGCAAUAAAAAACUAUUUCAUUCAUUCCAAUGCGAAAAAGUUUUUUAUUUGUGCUCACACUACUAAUGAGCUACUUGAUCUGUUACAAGCUUAUAGACCGAAGCCAGACCCCUGGACCUUUGUGUUGGAGCAUCCAAAUAAUGAUGGUAAUAGUAGCCGCAGUAAUAAGUACAAAUUAGAUUUAACUCUUCACCUGUAAAUAUUUUCUUCUGUGUUGCACCACCCAGGUGAUGUCUUCUAAACUCUACUUCUUUCCUUUAAAACAUUGAGGACAAUGUUUCGCUCUGGUUGGGGGGAGGGAAUAGUCGACAAUUGUGGAAUCUUGGUUAAGUUUUUACUGAUUUUUUGAUGUAGAAACUAACAGUUACUAACUUUUUGUGUUGAAAAUGACUGAAUAUGGAGUGUAGUGACUCUAGAAACGCAUCUUCAUCGUUUGAAAAAAAAAUUAAAAAAAUUCAGACAUUCUCUUUUUCUUUAUUAAGUUUUGAUCUUCAUUUUUUUUUCUUUCUAAUUUCUCCUUUAUAAAUAUACAUUUUCAAAUUUUUGAGUCGAAGAUGGCUGAAUAUGGAGUGUAGUGCCUCUAUAAACGCAUCUUCUUAGUUAAAAAAAAAUCAUUUUCUUUUUCUAUCAUUUUAAGUGUAACUUUUCUAAUUAGUUUUUCUGCAUUAUUUUCACAUUUCUGCAUGCAUAUUUUCCUUUCAUGUUUAGAAUAGGUUGGGGGGUAGGAUGUUGUUUGAAAAAUAAAUUUGUGUGAUUUGUUUUAACAUUGGAUGACAUGAUUAAUUUCAAAUUUUAGUAUUUGUAUUAUCUUUGGUCUUAAGUGAUGUUACGCUAUGUUUGCUACUCUACAUGUUGAUGUCGGAGACAAAUAUGAGUUGCUUGAAGGAAUGAACAUGUCAUAAUAAGUACCAAGUGAGUUUUUGAGCUUAUCAUUUUUCUUGGAGAGUAACCCUUUUGCCCAUUCUUUAUACAGCUUAGCAGUUUAUUAUUUUGUACACAAUCUCUAUAUUUCUUUUGAGUUAACCCUUAAAAAAAAUUGUAAAAUUAAAAAAAAAAAUGUUUGUUGUUACAUUUGGAGGCCCAUCUAACUAGUAGAUAUAGAAGAUUAUUUAGAGUCCUAAAAGACGAUGGAAAGUCCAUCUUUGAUCCAUUUAAACCUUUCUAGUCAUCCCUUUUAUGAAAUAUCCAUAGUUAACCCUUUUGAGCCUUUAAAAAAAAAACAUUUUCUUUGUCAAACUUAUCAUCUUGACCCACUCUGAUUUGAAGUAUUAUCCAAUAUCUUACAAGUUCCAUCACCUAUUUAUGUUUGAGAAAAAUGUAAAUAAUUAUUUUGUUCAGUGAAGUUAUGUCAAAGAGAAGCAAAAAAGAAAAAAGAAAAAAGAAAAAAGAAAAAAGAAAAAAAUUUUUGUUUAAAAAAACAAUAAUAGGUGAAAUCGACCUUGCAACUUCCAAAAAAAAAAGAAAAAAAAAACUCAACAUUUUUCUCAAACAUACAAUUUGUUUUCCUUAUUUCCCCUCUUUUGUUAGCCAUGUCCCUAACCUACGUUACGUCCUAAUAACAGUCCUUCUUGAUUUUAUGGAACUAUAGUCUGAAGUAAAAGCUAGUUAUAUGGGCUAAAAAGAUGUAGUGGUGCAUAAAAAAAAAUAAUAAAUAAAUUGGGUUGACUAGCAUUUUUAUUUGACUUGAAAUCGUAUUAUUUCUAAGCCGAGGGCAUAUUUCUUUCAUCUUGGUGAAAGCAUGUGAUACCACUUCUUUAUUAUUUUCUCUCAAUUACCAUUCAUUGGAGUGACUAUUUUUAUUGGGUUUAAUUUCUUUGUGAGUGUCACUACUUCCAGUGAGAUUUUGGGAUUUGACAUGUCAUUCUUGAAAGUAGCUAUGACAAAGUCUACUGGGCUGAUUCAUGUGGAUGGUUGAUGCGGGUGUGAUGUUUCUUUAGACUAGAGAUAAUGCUUAUACUUUUAUUUGAUUACUAUCAUUAGUCUGAUUGAAUAAACAUGAGUGUUAAAAAAAAAUCAUUUUGGAUUUGAAUUUUUCGCUUUAUUUGCUAGGGACUAGCAAUAAGCUGGUUGGGGGGUGUGUUGAGUGUUAGAAAAUGUAUAUUUAUAAAGGAGAAAAUCUUCAUUUUACACUUCAAGUUUACUAACACCCUUACUUUUAUAUAUUUAAGCUUUUUGUCAUUUAAUUAUGUGUGUUGUAUUAUAAUUAAGUAUUUUAUGUAUUUUAGGGGCAUCAUAGUCAUUUCACAAUGAACGAGAAAUCAUACGGCAAAACGGACAUCACUUUUGAACUCAGGACAGUCGAAAAUCUUAAGAGGAGUAUAAAAGGAAAAAUGUCACUGUUCACAUGUACGGUAUUGUCUACGUUACUGUUCACGACACUGUUCACAUAGACGGAACAAUGAUGUGGCAUUGACCGAUGAUGUGGCAUUGACUGAUGAGGUGUCACGAUCCUGUUGGACUAAAAUUCUUAUGUACUGUUGAUCGAUGACGUGGCAGCAUAUCAGUGGACCAAAAAUCUUGCGUACAGUACAUGCAUUACACAGGACUAUUUUCAACCAAACCGCGUCAUUGUUCAAAUCGGGUCAAACCGUGUUACUGUUCAAACCACGUGGUCAAACCGCGUACUGUUGAUUGAUGACGUGGCACAAUCCUGAGCGUCCAAACUGUUUUUAAUCUGAUGGCCAUGAUUUACUCAAUGUAUCUAUAAAAAGGGGGCCUUCCCCCCCCACCCUAAUUUGAUGGUUCUGAAUCCAUUUUUGGGCUCUAUUUUCUGUAAUUCCUUCUCCAUCUUGUAUUUUCUAUGUAUUUUAAUAAAUUUCCAUUUUGCCCCUAGUUCAAUUAUGAGUAGCUAAUUUUCUUUCAAGCUUGGGUUGAAGGUGAAGUCUCAACAUGUGUCAUGGGCUUUAUUUGGUAAAUUUAUUUUCUCUUCCCCUCUAGUUUUUGUGGAUGUUUUGACUUCUCGUCGACAAAUAAUAAUAAUCUUGUCAAGAUACCGCCUUGGUUUCACCGACUCUCUAGUACAAGGUUAUUAUUAUUUGGCACGAUAAGUCCUUAGCACCAUAUUGAUUAGAGUGUGGUUCAUGAGGUGUGGAUUCCCCCCUCAUGAUUUAAUUGGCAUUAAUAAGGAAUAUUUAGCUCAUGGUACAUGUUGAUACGGAUCCAGAUACCAAAGUACGUCAUUUCAACAGAUUUCUCUUCAAUUUAUUCUCGCCAUUUCAAUUCCAAUUUUAGGAUAAUCUAAGUCACUUUCACCAUAAAUCCAACCACCUUCAUACAAAAUUAAUUCUACAUAUAAUUAAAAUCCACCUCCUCGUGGGAUCGACACUUGUCACCAUUGAUCUAUACUACAAUAGAUUCGUGCACUUGCGAGUUCAAUAAAAUUUGCACAACAAUGAUCUGCUUCAAUAUCUUUGAGGCAAUGAGGUAUCCCAGUGAUGUUCAUUCUGUUUUUGCCAUAGAUGAUAUUAAUACUUUGGUGCAGGAUUUCUUUGAAUUAUCUGAUAAUGACAGUUUUGAAAUUUCCAUAAGCAAAAAUCUUAUGAAAGAUGAUUAUAAGGAACAUGCAAAUUUUAUAAAGUUGGAUGAUGAGAUAGAGGAAGCUAUGGCGAUCUUAGAUGGAGCAGUCUCAUUACGUACCAAUGGAUAUAAUGUUUCUUAUCUUGAAUUGCCUUUAUUAAACGAGAAACUUUUACUUUCAGUUAUGCAAGCACCUACCUUAGAACUUAAGGCACUCCAAGAACACCUGCAAUAUAUUUACUUGGGUGGGAAUGAAACACUUCCAGUCAUAAUUGCUAAAACCCUCACCCCAGUUCAACAAGAAAAGUUAAUUAGGGUGCUUCGGGAUCAUAAAACGAUGAUUGGUUGGACCAUUGCUGACAUUAAGGGAAUUAGUCCUUCCAUGUGUAUGCAUCGAAUUUUACUAGAGGAAAGGUCUAAACCAACGAGAGAUGCACAACGCCGCCUUAAUCCACCAAUGAUGGAAGUCGUAAAAAAUGAGAUACUGAAACUCCUUAAUAUGGGGAUUAUUUAUCCCAUUUCUGAUAGUAAAUGGGUGAGUCAUGUGCAGGUAGUUCCAAAAAAAUUAGGCAUUACAGUGGUCAAGAAUGAAGAAAAUGAGCUUGUGCCAACAAGAGUUCAAACUGGGUGGAGAGUCUGCAUUGACUAUCGUAAACUGAAUGCAGCCACUCGCAAGGAUCAUUUUCCUCUGCCAUUCAUUGAUCAAAUGCUUGAAAGGUUAAGUGGUCACUCUCAUUAUUGUUUUCGUUAUGGUUACUCAGGUUAUAAUCAGAUCGUUAUCGCUCCAGAAGACCAAGAGAAAACGACCUUCACAUGCCACUUCGGAACAUUUGCUUACCGAUGCAUGCCGUUUGGUCACUGUAACGCUCCUGCCACUUUCCAAAGGUGUAUGAUGAGUAUUUUUUCUAAUUAUGUGGAGAACAUCAUUGAGGUAUUUAUGGAUGAUUUUACAGUUUAUGGUGAUUCUUUCGAUAGAUGUUUAGAUAACCUUAUACUUGUUCUUAAACGAUGCAUUGACACUAACCUUGUGCUUAAUUGGGAAAAAUGUCAUUUUAUGGUUAAUCAAGGUUUUGUACUAGGCCAUGUUAUUUCUGAAAAGGGGAUUGAAGUUGAUAAAUCUAAGAUAGAUCUUAUUCGCUCUUUAUCACCUCCCACUAGUGUGAGGGAUGUUCGUUCUUUUCUUGGUCAUGCAGGUUUCUAUCGCAGGUUUAUCAAAGACUUCUCCAAAAUAACAUUACCCCUCUGUAACUUACUUCAAAAGGAUGCAAUGUUUGACUUCAAUGAAGAGUGCCAAAGAGCUUUUAAAAAGUUAAAAGAGGUUUUGACAUCGGCCUUUUUGAUUCAACCACCAAACUGGGAUUUAUCAUUUGAGAUUAUGUGCGAUGCCAAUGACUAUGCUGUUGGAGCCAUGUUGGGCCAGCUUGUGGGCAAGCUUCCUCAUGUCAUCUAUUAUGCCUCUCAUACAUUGAAUGAUGCACAACUUAACUACUCCACCACAGAGAAAUAACUUUUAGCAGUUAUCUUUGCCUUAGAGAAAUUUCGUUCUUAUUUAAUUAGAUCUAAGGUAAUCGUUUACUCUGACCAUGCAGCUAUUAGGUACUUGCUCACCAAAAAGGAUGCCAAACCGCGCGUUAUAUGAUGGAUACUUCUAUUGCAAGAAUUUGACAUAGAGAUUCUAGAUAAGAGAGGUUCUGAGAAUUUGGUGGCAGAUCAUUUGAGUCGACUUAUCCAUAACGAAGAUGGACUUCCAUUGCACGAGAACUUUCCAAAUGAGCAGUUAUUACAGGUAAGUACAAUUACUCCUUGGUAUGCAGAUAUUGUCAAUUACUUGGUUACCAGGACAGUACCAGAAGAGAUAACUCGUGCACAAAAGGCCAAGAUCAAGAGUGAUGCCAAGUACUAUGUAUGGGAUGAGCCAUACUUGUGGAAGCAUUGUUCUGAUCAAGUUAUUAGAAGGUGCGUACCUGAAACUGAAUUUACUUCUAUUCUCACCUUUUGUCAUACUUUGGCUUGUGGAGGACAUUUUGGACCAAAGAGAACAGCCCUUAAAGUACUUGCGAGCGGUUUUUAUUGGCCAUCACUAUUUAAGGAUGCAUAUUUGUUUUGCAAAUCUUGUGAUUGUUGUUAGAGAACAUGUAAUUUGGGACCUAGAAAUCAGAUGCCACAAUCCCCCAUUCUUAUAGUUGAGAUUUUUUAUGUUUGGGGCAUCGACUUCAUGGGACCAUUUCCUUCAUCGUUUGGUAAUCUCUAUAUUGUUCUUGCGGUUGAUUAUGUUUCAAAAUGGGUGGAAGCAAAAGCCACCUGAACUAACGAUUCUAAGGUUGUGGUAGAUUUUAUAAAGAGUAACAUCUUUACAAGGUUUGGAACACCAAAGCCAAUUAUCAGCGACAGAGGCACUCACUUUUGUAACAGGUUAGUAGAAGCCCUCUUUCGAAAAUAUAACAUCACUCACAAGGUAUCUACAUCUUACCAUCCCCAAACUAGUGGGCAAGCUGAGGUGUCUAAUAGGGAAGUGAAAUCAAUCCUUGAAAAGACAGCUAAUCCAAAUAGAAAGGAUUGGAGCUUACGACUUGAUGAUGCACUUUGGGCAUAUAGGACCGCAUACAAAACUCUUAUCAGUAUGUCACCCUACAGGUUGGUAUAUGGUAUGCCUUGUCAUCUUCCAGUGGAACUUGAACAUAAAGCAUGGUGGGCUGUGAAAUAAUGUAACAUGGAACUGGACGCUGCCGGCCAACACAGAAAGCUCCAAUUGCAAGAAUUAGAGGAAAUUCGAAAUGAUGCCUAUGAGAGUUCACGAAUCUAUAAGGAAAAGACUAAGGCUUUUCAUGACAAGCAGAUCUUGAGAAAGAAUUUUAAAGUUGGACAGAAAGUUUUGCUAUUCCAUUAUCGCCUUAAGUUAUUUCCAGGUAAGUUACGUUCUUGAUGGGUUGGGCCUUUUGUUGUUAUUAAUGUUUUUCCUCAUGGUGCAGUUGAGAUCAGGAGCUUAAAGAUAGGUAAAGAGUUCAAAGUUAAUGGUCAUAGGUUGAAGCCUUACUAUGAAAACUUUCAGACACUCAAUGUAGAUGAGGCUCCACUUUAUGAACCUGCGUACGUUGAUGAGUGAAACUUGAGAACCAUGUCAGGCUGAGGACAAUAAACCAAGCGCUUAUUGGGAGGCAACCCAAUGGGUGGAGAAAAGAUUUUGAGAGCACGCCAUAACAGAUUUGAUCUUUCUUCCUCUCAUUCUCAUUUACUUUACCCACUUUGUGUUGAAUUUUGUUUGUUUAUGUUUGUGUGUCUCAUCUCAUUUCCCCAUAUUUAAUUCUGUCUUUUAUUAGCUUAGGCUUACAUUGAGGACAAUGUAAGAAUUAAGUGUGGGGGGGUGGAUUUCGAACUUAGUUUUUAUUGCUUCGUCUUUUUCUUUUUACAAAAAAAAAAAAACAUUGUUUUGAAUAUUAGCCAGUGAUAAGAAUUUGAUUGACAAUGAUUAUGGUUCUUAGAAUGGGUUGAAUAUUACCUUAGUUUAUACUUGAUUCUUGUGUUGAUUUCCUCUUAAUUGAGAUUCUUUAAACCAUGAGCACUAAUAUCAAUUCUUUCAUAAUUUUGACUUAGAAUUUGAGAUUGACGCAGCCUGAGUUGAGAAUUUUAGAUCGAGUAAAUGAUUGUUUGUCUUAAUUCUUAUCUCUACAAUACAAUGUAGUAUACACAUGCACCAUAGUCAGAAAUAGCUACCUAUAACCCUUAAGAGUGAAGCUAUCCUUGAGUAAUUUGGGCAUAUGUACCACCAGUAUGUAGAGGAUAAUCUACCAUGAGAAGAAGGCUACCUUAAGGGGUAGAGUGAAAGCUCCUGACUAUUUAAAAAAAAAAUCAAUCAAAAGAAAAUGCACACAAAUGCCUGUAAAAGGAAAAAAAAAUUGGAGAUCAAGAUUAUAAGAUUAAUUUGACCUACUCUUUUCUAUGUUCGAGGCAAAGGCUGUUGAUAUUGAAAAUUUUGGAAAUGAAUUUUAAUUGAAUUGAUUCACACACACACACUAUGAGAAUCAAAAGAGAGAUGGGAUUAACUAUUGAAUUAAAGUUAGAAUUUCGAUAAUAUUUGAAAUUUUCUUUGAGCUAUAUGACUUAUACAAUCUUUUAGGCUAGUUUUAUUUUAAAUUCUUUUGUUCUUUGUUCUUAAAAAAAAACAAUGCAAUGAUGUUUGUGGGUAUCAUCGUUGAAGCUCUCACGAGACUAUAACUCGUCCACUGGGGUCGCCUAGGGGUUUAAAGGCUUGUUGCACACGCUAAAUGCAAUCGUGAUUUCUUACGAAAGUGGUUUAGUUAGGAUUUACUUUUUGUUUCGGUACUUUUGUUUUUGUUUUUAGUUUUAGUUUUGCUUAACGACUAGCAAAAUCUAAGUCUAGUGGUAUUUGAUGAGCAUAAUUUAUAUACAUAUUUUACCCUUAAUUAUAUAAUUGCAAGUUAUUUUUAUUUGUUAUUUUUAAUUAAUUGAAUUAUUUUAUUGCAUAGGGAAUUAAUUGGAGAUUAUGGAUGAAAAGUAUGUAAAGAAUAACAAUUGGACAACAUUGAAGAGCAAAUCAAUUUGUGGAAGUAAUUAAGGAGAUGUGCAAGAAAUUCUGUUCAAAGAAACCGAAGCCAAUAAAUUGAAUUCUCCAUGUUCGUGCAAACAAAGAAGAAGGUUAAAGCUAAAGUGGGCAGCACAUAAAACAAAGCUUUUAAUUAAGCAUUUGAAUGGAAAGUCAAAGUAGAAUAAAGGAAGGAAAUCAAUAGCUUUUGGCUUUUAUUGUUUUCAAUUACGUGGCAAGCUCAGGGCUUUAGCUUGUAAAAGUUGGUUUAGUUAUUAGAAUCACAAUAGGAUUCGGUGGCCAAGCAAUAUAAAAGGGAGUUUUGCUUUUGAAUAAAGAGGAGAGUGCAGACACAAUUCGGGCAGAGGAGAAUUGGCAGCAAGAGAAACUGAACAAUUUGCAGCCGCAAAGGAGAAGACAAAAAAUCAGCAGCCGGAAUUAAAUUAAAGCAAAGGCAGCCGCUUGAAUUAAUCUCCAUGACUGAUUUUAUCAAUUCUCUUAUUCCCAAUUCAAUUAUGUUAGGCUAGAUUUUUAUUUGGUUGAGGGUGAAUUCAAAACCCUAAACAUGCUAUGCAAUUUAAUUUAAAUUCUAUCAUUCAAUUUAUUUAAUUGAGAUUGUUUAUGUUCUUCUAUAAAUAAUGUUUACGAUUUUAUUCUCGUCUUGUUUGAGUGGCCAAUUAGAUAGGACUUGAAUAAAUUCUAUUGCUAGAUUAAAAUUCUUGAUCUGUAAUUGUCUUGAUAUUUUAAUCAUUAGUAGCAGGUUGGAAUCAGUGAUUUUGAUUGGAGAACAUAACUUAGGUUAAAUAAUCCGAGCUUGUGUGUUUAUUGCCUAUAUCAACCUAAUAUCUUUCUUUGUUUAAUGCUUCCAUUAUCUUAAAUUUAAAGAGCUUAUUUUAAAUUAUUUAAUGGUUAGAGAUUAGGUGAAGAGCUUAUUUUGCCUAACGACACACUAAGGAAAGAUUGAGACUAACAGAGUUUAU